rnacentral:lncRNA from 1 species
GAUAACAUAUCUUACAGAAAACCAUUCAGAUAACAUACGAGUAUAUAUAUAGACGUGUGUGUGUGUAUGUGUGAAGAACAAAUUUGAGAAGCUUGAUCAUCGCAGUUAACAUAAUAAGUUUGCUUAUUAUAUAUAACUUAUGUUUUACUUUUACUUGCACCUGAAUCAAUCAAUUUGUACAUAUAUCCUUCUCAUUAUAUUUUGUAUAGAUAGAUUUCCAAGUAGAUUAUUUAAUUUGUUGAUAUAACUAAGCGAUUCAUUUCAAUUUUUG